AGGCAAGGAAACUCGGCUAAAGGCCCUCACAUCCUGUGAGGAACGCCCAGUACCUUCGUCCUGAAGG
rnacentral:sRNA from 23 species